rnacentral:misc_RNA from 1 species
GAUGAAGAACGCAGCGAAAUGCGAUAAGUAGUGUGAAUUGCAGAAUUCAGUGAAUCAUCGAAUCUUUGAACGCACAUUGCGCCCCUUGGUAUUCCAUGGGGCAUGCCUGUUCGAGCGUCAUUUGUACCUUCAAGCUUUGCUUGGUGUUGGGUGUUUGUCUCGCCUUUGCGUGUAGACUCGCCUUAAAAUAAUUGGCAGCCGGCGUAUUGAUUUCGGAGCGCAGUACAUCUCGCGCUUUGCACUCAUAACGACAGCGUCCAAAAGUACAUUUUACACUCUUGACCUCGGAUCAGGUAGGGGUACCCGCUGAACUUAAGCAUAUCAAUAAGCGGAGGA